UACAGAGGGGGCAAGCGUUGUUCGGAAUUACUGGGCGUAAAGGGCGCGUAGGUGGCCUUCUAAGUUGAACGUGAAAUCCCUGGGCUCAACCCAGGAACUGCGUCCAAGACUGGGAGGCUUGAAUCCGGGAGAGGGAUGCGGAAUUCCAGGUGUAGCGGUGAAAUGCGUAGAUAUCGAGAGGAACACCUGAGGUGAAGACGGGUUGCUGGGCCGACACUGACGCUGAGUGCGCGAAAGCCAGGGGAGCAAACGGG
rnacentral:rRNA from 1 species